rnacentral:tRNA from 1 species
GGGCCUGUGGCGAAAUUGGCAGACGCGCUGGAUUUAGGUUCCAGUGGAGCAAUCCGUGGGGGUUCAAAUCCCUCCAGGCCCA